GCGUUAUCCCUUCUCCUCGCGCGCUUUCGCCACCACCCCUACGAAUCGCUAAAGGGCUGAACCGGCCAGUGCAAUUCACGACGACAUAGACGUCGAGUCCGCGCGUCUCGACGCUGCCUUUCCGCCUGCGAUUCUUUUUUUUCGCCACGCGUUCGUCGCGACCUCGUCCAACGCGCGUCGACGUUUUUUUUCCGUGAAAUUGUGCGCGAAUCGAGAGGACCGAUUUUUGGGAAAAAAAAAUCAUCGACUACAGCCGGUCGUCGUGGCAACGUGGAUUCGUCGUUCGUUCGAGCCGCUGGGAAACCCCUUAAACAGACGCGCUGCGUCGUUUCUCCCGCGUCGGGGUCAUUCGUUUAACUCUCCUCGAGUUAAUCAGCGCGCAGACCCGGUUUAAUGAUCCUUCAAACGUCGUUAAGCUCGCGCAGUCGAGGCGCGAACUUCGACGGGGUGGCGCGCGGCGUCGAAUAGCUGGAAAAUGAUACGUUUCGAACGACGACGUUACUCCGAGGCUCGUUAAGCGCGACGACAACAUAUCGGCCGGGAUGUCAACAUCGUGCCAGUCUCCCGUCAUAGACGACGAUCUAGCGAUUCACCGACGCCGCGGAAUGCCGCGACGACACGAGUACCAGAACGGGCCCUUAACGAAGACGAGUCAUCCGUAAUCUCUGAAGCGGCGUCGGACCAGCCCUUGCACGGAUACCAACCGCGAGACGGGCUCAAAUUCCUCAAAGGAGACAGGGUUAACCACGACACGAUCCUUCACGGAAGACGUCAGCCUCCGCCGUGUGUCUGCCCGGGGCCACGCGCGCGCGCGCGUCCUUGUAUGUCUGCUCGAGCGGACGUUCCAGGAGACGAGGCUGAAAGGGUGGCCCGCGGUUCCCACCGAUCCCCAGGGACACGGCCGUCGAGCCCCGUGGUCCAAGCCCGCCACGGCGUUCCACAAACUUGCGCAAUAUCCACGUAACCGGGUACCCGCGAAAUUCUUUGGCAAAUCUUCCGCGGCGUUCUCCCAGCCGCGAAACCAGCGACUGAAAACCGCCGCGGGGCGGAUCAGAGCGGCGGAUCAGAGCGGCGGAAACGAGCGACGACGGAAAGCUAGCACCGCGAACGAGUCGCGAAGCGACGGCACGUUGGAAACAGUCGAGAGACGUCUGGGAGCGAAACGAGGGAAAACGGAGAAGUCUGGCGAGACAAGGGUUCGCUCCGAGCGGGAUAUUAGCCGUGUCACCUAACGAUCGUCGAGUUUCGCGUCGUUGCGUCGCGGCCGUAAUAUCCUCGGAAAGUGAGCGCGGGACCCGUGAAUUUCCGCAGUUCCCCGUGACACGUCCGCGUCGCCAAUUAAAAAGAACGAAAGACGGUCGAGAGGAGACAGGGCCGCUAACCCGGCGCGUAAUCGCGGCCCACGGCGAACGCGGCCGAGCGUAAAGGAACGCCGGAAAUCGAGAGACGCGCUGUUCACGGUGAAAAUUAAACGAGGAAACUCUUUGUAUGCUCGCCGCACGGAACCUUCGAAACUUCCGCGAGAUCGCGCUAAUACUCGAGGGAAAAUCUUUUCCCGGCGGUUGAACGCAGUGUCUCUGCUCGCUGUUACGGGGCGGGGGAGAAAGAAAAAAAGAAAAAGAAAA